rnacentral:ncRNA from 1 species
AGUACCCCUUAGGUGAAGGUUUUCUAUGGCACGAGAGGAACAGCAGGUUCAGACAUUUGGUUCACGGACUUGACCGAUCGCUCGAUGGUUCGAAGCUAACAUCUGGGAGAUUAUGACUGAACGCCCCUAAGUCAGAAUCCCACCUAGUCAAGGCAGUAAUAACUUUGUUUCCCGGUGUCGGGAAGCAACUCUACCUCGUGGCAAUACGAGGGCUCAUGCCCCAGCAUGUGGCCUUGCCGGUAUGGAUAAUCCCUACUGGUUGCCAAAGCCAGAUCACUCUGGUUCAAUGUCGGGGCGCAAAAUCACAUGUCUACGAGAUGUAUACUGGUCAAGGUGUUGUAUCCAUUAGAGCAGUGUUUGUAUACCGCGAUCUGUUGAGACUAUCCUAUGGGUGUUUU